CCCGCUCAGAAACUUAAAGGAAGUUGACGGGGGCCCGCGACAAGCGGUGGAGCAUGUGGUUUAAUUCGAUGAUACGCGAGGAACCUUACCUGGGCUCAAAUGUAUGUUGACGUAUUCUGAAAGGGAUACUUCUUCGGACAAUAUACAAGGUGCUGCAUGGUUGUCGUCAGCUCGUGCCGUGAGGUGUCGGGUUAAGUCCCAUAACGAGCGCAACCCCUAUCAUUAGUUGCCAUCAGGUCAAGCUGGGGACUCUAAUGAAACUGCCUACGCAAGUAGUGAGGAAGGCGGGGAUGACGUCAAAUCAGCACGGCCCUUACGUCCAGGGCUACACACGUGCUACAAUGGCCGAUACAGAGGGCAGCUACCUGGUGACAGGAUGCAAAUCUCCAAAGUCGGUCUCAGUUCGGAUCGGAGUCUGCAACCCGACUCCGUGAAGUUGGAUUCGCUAGUAAUCGCGCAUCAGCCAUGGCGCGGUGAAUACGUUCCCGGGCCUU
rnacentral:rRNA from 1 species